GAUGAACGCUGGCGGCGUGCCUAAUACAUGCAAGUCGAGCGAACAGACGAGGAGCUUGCUCCUUCGACGUUAGCGGCGGACGGGUGAGUAACACGUAGGUAACCUACCUAUAAGACUGGGAUAACUUCGGGAAACCGGAGCUAAUACCGGAUAAUAUUUCGAACCGCAUGGUUCGAUAGUGAAAGAUGGCUUUGCUAUCACUUAUAGAUGGACCUGCGCCGUAUUAGCUAGUUGGUAAGGUAACGGCUUACCAAGGCAACGAUACGUAGCCGACCUGAGAGGGUGAUCGGCCACACUGGAACUGAGACACGGUCCAGACUCCUACGGGAGGCAGCAGUAGGGAAUCUUCCGCAAUGGGCGAAAGCCUGACGGAGCAACGCCGCGUGAGUGAUGAAGGUCUUCGGAUCGUAAAACUCUGUUAUUAGGGAAGAACAAACGUGUAAGUAACUGUGCACGUCUUGACGGUACCUAAUCAGAAAGCCACGGCUAACUACGUA
rnacentral:rRNA from 1 species